rnacentral:rRNA from 1 species
GGGCCCGCACAAGCGGUGGAGCAUGUGGUUUAAUUCGAUGCAACGCGAAGAACCUUACCUGGUCUUGACAUACACAGAAUCUUGUAGAGAUACGAGAGUGCCUUCGGGAAUUGUGAUACAGGUGCUGCAUGGCUGUCGUCAGCUCGUGUCGUGAGAUGUUGGGUUAAGUCCCGCAACGAGCGCAACCCUUGUCCUUAGUUACCAGCGGGUUAAGCCGGGAACUCUAAGGAUACUGCCAGUGACAAACUGGAGGAAGGCGGGGACGACGUCAAGUCAUCAUGGCCCUUACGACCAGGGCUACACACGUGCUACAAUGGUAGGUACAGAGGGCAGCUACACAGCGAUGUGAUGCGAAUCUCAAAAAGUGCAUCUCAGUCCGGAUUGGAGUCUGCAACUCGACUCCAUGAAGUUGGAAUCGCUAGUAAUCG